rfam:Syntrophobotulus glycolicus DSM 8271, complete genome.
UCCAUCGUGAGGUGGAAUCUGAAGAAAGGAUUAGGCAAAACUCUGGCUUGUUACAUCUGAGGCUAAAUGCAAGGAUAAGGUUGCCAUACAAACCAAAGUCCAAUAGCUGCACGGAAUUGCAUUUAGUAGUUAUGGAAUGAGUACUAAGAGGGAAAGAACGUGUG